rnacentral:rRNA from 1 species
CUGAAUAGGGCGCAUAAGUAACAGGUCGUAGACCCGAAACCAGGUGAUCUACCCAUGUCCAGGAUGAAGGUAAGGUAAUACUUACUGGAGGUCCGAACCCACGCACGUUGAAAAGUGCGGGGAUGAGGUGUGGGUAGCGGAGAAAUUCCAAUCGAACUUGGAGAUAGCUGGUUCUCUCCGAAAUAGCUUUAGGGCUAGCCUCGAGGUAAAGAGUCAUGGAGGUAGAGCACUGUUUGGACUAGGGGCCCUUCUCGGGUUACCGAAUUCAGAUAAACUCCGAAUGCCAUGUACUUAUACUCGGGAGUCAGACUGCGAGUGAUAAGAUCCGUAGUCGAAAGGGAAACAGCCCAGACCACCAGUUAAGGUCCCCAAAUAUAUGUUAAGUGGAAAAGGAUGUGGGGUUGCUUAGACAACCAGGAUGUUGGCUUAGAAGCAGCCACCAUUGAAAGAGUGCGUAAUAGCUCACUGGUCGAGUGACCCCGCGCCGAAAAUGUACCGGGGCUAAACAUAUUACCGAAACUGUGGAUGAACCUCUUUAGAGGUUCGUGGUAGGAGAGCGUUCUAAGGGCGGUGAAGUCAGACCGGAAGGACUGGUGGAGCGCUUAGAAGUGAGAAUGCCGGUAUGAGUAGCGAAAGAAGGGUGAGAAUCCCUUCCACCGAAUAUCUAAGGUUUCCUGAGGAAGGCUCGUCCGCUCAGGGUUAGUCGGGACCUAAGCCGAGGCCGAUAGGCGUAGGCGAUGGACAACAGGUAGAGAUUCCUGUACCAGUGCUAAUUGUUUAACCGAUGGGGUGACACAGAAGGAUAGGGAAUCGCACGAAUGGAAAUGUGCGUCCAAGCAGUGAGUGUGAGAAGUAGGCAAAUCCGCUUCUCGCGAAGCAUGAGCUGUGAUGGGGAAGGAAAUUAAGUACGGAAGUUCCUGAUUUCACGCUGUCAAGAAAAGCCUCUAGGAAGAGUAGUACUGCCCGUACCGCAAACCGACACAGGUAGAUGAG